UACAGAGGUCUCAAGCGUUGUUCGGAUUCAUUGGGCGUAAAGGGUGCGUAGGCGGCGCGGUAAGUCGGGUGUGAAAUCUCGGAGCUUAACUCCGAAACUGCAUUCGAUACUGCGUGCUUGAGGACUGGAGAGGAGACUGGAAUUUACGGUGUAGCAGUGAAAUGCGUAGAUAUCGUAAGGAAGACCAGUGGCGAAGGCGGGUCGUCUGGACAGUUCCUGACACUGAGACACGGAAGGCCAGGGGAGCAAACGGG
rnacentral:rRNA from 1 species